rnacentral:rRNA from 1 species
AUUGAACGCUGGCGGCAUGCUUUACACAUGCAAGUCGAACGGCAGCGCGGGCUUCGGCCUGGCGGCGAGUGGCGAACGGGUGAGUAAUGCAUCGGAACGUGCCCAGUAGUGGGGGAUAGCCCGGCGAAAGCCGGAUUAAUACCGCAUACGACCUGAGGGUGAAAGCGGGGGACCGAAAGGCCUCGCGCUAUUGGAGCGGCCGAUGUCGGAUUAGCUAGUUGGUGGGGUAAAGGCUUACCAAGGCGACGAUCCGUAGCUGGUCUGUGAGGACGACCAGCCACACUGGGACUGAGACACGGCCCAGACUCCUACGGGAGGCAGCAGUGGGGAAUUUUGGACAAGGGGGGCAACCCUGAUCCAGCCAUGCCGCGUGCGGGAAGAAGGCCUUCGGGUUGUAAACCGCUUUUGUUCGGGAAGAAAUCCUCUGGGCUAAUACCCCGGGGGGAUGACGGUACCGGAAGAAUAAGCACCGGCUAACUACG